rnacentral:miRNA from 8 species
CUGGAAGUUGGGAUGGCUUUUA